AUUGAACGCUGGCGGCAUGCCUAACACAUGCAAGUCGAACGGCAGCACAGUGUGUAGCAAUACACAUGGGUGGCGAGUGGCGGACGGGUGAGUAAUGCUUAGGAAUCUGCCCAGUAGCGGGGGAUAGCUCGGCGAAAAGCCGGAUUAAUACCGCAUACGCCCUACGGGGGAAAGCGGGGGACCGUUCGGGCCUCGCACUAUUGGAUGAGCCUAAGUCUGAUUAGCUAGUUGGCAGGGUAAACGGCCUACCAAGGCAACAAUCAGUAGCUGGUCUGAGAGGACGACCAGCCACACCGGAACUGAGACACGGUCCGGACUCCUACGGGAGGCUG
rnacentral:rRNA from 1 species